GGUUCGAUGGCGUAGUUGGUUAUCGCAUCUGUCUAACACUGAACAUAGCGGUUGGCAAGCCUAAUUUGCACAGAAGGUCCCCGGUUCGAGCCCGGGUCGAAUCA